AAGACCAAGGGUUCCUGUCCAACGUUAAUCGGGGCAGGGUGAGUCGACCCCUAAGGCGAGGCCGAAAGGCGUAGUCGAUGGGAAACAGGUUAAUAUUCCUGUACUUGGUGUUACUGCGAAGGGGGGACGGAGAAGGCUAUGUUGGCCGGGCGACGGUUGUCCCGGUUUAAGCGUGUAGGCUGGUUUUCCAGGCAAAUCCGGAAAAUCAAGGCUGAGGCGUGAUGACGAGGCACUACGGUGCUGAAGCAACAAAUGCCCUGCUUCCAGGAAAAGCCUCUAAGCAUCAGGUAACAUCAAAUCGUACCCCAAACCGACACAGGUGGUCAGGUAGAGAAUACCAAGGCGCUUGAGAGAACUCGGGUGAAGGAACUAGGCAAAAUGGUGCCGUAACUUCGGGAGAAGGCACGCUGAUAUGUAGGUGAAGUCCCUCGCGGAUGGAGCUGAAAUCAGUCGAAGAUACCAGCUGGCUGCAACUGUUUAUUAAAAACACAGCACUGUGCAAACACGAAAGUGGACGUAUACGGUGUGACGCCUGCCCGGUGCCGGAAGGUUAAUUGAUGGGGUCAGCGCAAGCGAAGCUCUUGAUCGAAGCCCCGGUAAACGGCGGCCGUAACUAUAACGGUCCUAAGGUAGCGAAAUUCCUUGUCGGGUAAGUUCCGACCUGCACGAAUGGCGUAAUGAUGGCCAGGCUGUCUCCACCCGAGACUCAGUGAAAUUGAACUCGCUGUGAAGAUGCAGUGUACCCGCGGCAAGACGGAAAGACCCCGUGAACCUUUACUAUAGCUUGACACUGAACAUUGAGCCUUGAUGUGUAGGAUAGGUGGGAGGCUUAGAAGUGUGGACGCCAGUCUGCAUGGAGCCGACCUUGAAAUACCACCCUUUAAUGUUUGAUGUUCUAACGUUGACCCGUAAUCCGGGUUGCGGACAGUGUCUGGUGGGUAGUUUGACUGGGGCGGUCUCCUCCUAAAGAGUAACGGAGGAGCACGAAGGUUGGCUAAUCCUGGUCGGACAUCAGGAGGUUAGUGCAAUGGCAUAAGCCAGCUUGACUGCGAGCGUGACGGCGCGAGCAGGUGCGAAAGCAGGUCAUAGUGAUCCGGUGGUUCUGAAUGGAAGGGCCAUCGCUCAACGGAUAAAAGGUACUCCGGGGAUAACAGGCUGAUACCGCCCAAGAGUUCAUAUCGACGGCGGUGUUUGGCACCUCGAUGUCGGCUCAUCACAUCCUGGGGCUGAAGUAGGUCCCAAGGGUAUGGCUGUUCGCCAUUUAAAGUGGUACGCGAGCUGGGUUUAGAACGUCGUGAGACAGUUCGGUCCCUAUCUGCCGUGGGCGCUGGAGAACUGAGGGGGGCUGCUCCUAGUACGAGAGGACCGGAGUGGACGCAUCACUGGUGUUCGGGUUGUCAUGCCAAUGGCACUGCCCGGUAGCUAAAUGCGGAAGAGAUAAGUGCUGAAAGCAUCUAAGCACGAAACUUGCC
rnacentral:rRNA from 1 species